UCACCUUCCUGGAAGAUGAUUUAAUCUAUGCACAAAUUCUUACCUCACUUCGCCUAAAUAAAAUACUGCGUUAUUUCGCUUCUUGGCAACCCAAUUCCACAACCACCUUCCCUUUUCCAUGACCUAAAAUUUCAUUUCAAAACACUGCUUUCUUGCGCUGGUUGGCAACCUAAUUGUCAUACUUUAGUUCGAUUCAUGCGAAGAAGAAGCUUAAGAACCUAAUCCCAAAUCAGAAAACUGAACAUGUAGAAGAGAAAAGCA
rnacentral:lncRNA from 1 species